UACGUAGGGUGCGAGCGUUGUCCGGAAUUAUUGGGCGUAAAGGGCUCGUAGGCGGUUUGUCGCGUCGGGAGUGAAAACCUCGGGCUUAACUCGGGGCUUGCUUUCGAUACGGGCAGACUGGAGGUAUGCAGGGGAGAACGGAAUUCCUGGUGUAGCGGUGAAAUGCGCAGAUAUCAGGAGGAACACCGGUGGCGAAGGCGGUUCUCUGGACGGUGACUGACGCUGAGGCGCGAAAGCGUGGGGAGCAAACAGG
rnacentral:rRNA from 1 species